UACGGAGGGGGCAAGCGUUGUUCGGAAUUACUGGGCGUAAAGGGCGCGUAGGCGGCCAGUUGCGUCGGGUGUGAAAGCCCCGGGCUCAACCUGGGAGGUGCACUUGAUACGGGCUGGCUGGAAACCGGGAGAGGAUGGUGGAAUUCUCAGUGUAGAGGUGAAAUUCGUAGAGAUUGGGAAGAACACCGAUGGCGAAGGCAGUCAUCUGGACCGGGAUUGACGAUGAGGCGCGAAAGAGUGGGGAGCAAACAGG
rnacentral:rRNA from 1 species